AGAGGAUCGGAAUAAGAAAAGCUGAAUCGUGGCGAAGCCACCAACACAUUCCUAAACCCCAAAACAUCUUUUACCUCCACCCUGAAUCUCCACCAUUUCUUCAGCCCACAAACCCAUCUCCCAUCUCUCUCUCUCUCUCUCUCUCUCUCUCUCACUUCCAUCAGAAAUUUAGUGAUCUUCACUUCAUCAUCAUAUGCUCUCAGAGCCCAAUAGAAAAAAAAGUAGAUUAUGGAAUUGCCAACCUCGGUUUCUUCUCUUCUCCGCUCUCCCAAUAGUUUACCACCAUUCAAAUGCUUCGAAUCCUAUUCUUCUUCUCGAAAUAUCAAUCGGCUGAGGAUGGGUAGACGCGGCGUCGUUCCGUCGAGCGCCUCUGUGAAGAUGGUUUCCAACGGGUACGUGAGGAGAGACAGCUACAGCGGUUAUAGUAACAGGAUUUACAAAAGGGUCGAUUCUUGUUUGGUGAUUCCUCCACCCAAAGGCAAGAAACCAACUGCAAUCAUCGAAUUCUUGGGUGGUGCCUUCAUUGGAGCGGUUCCUGAAGUUACCUACAGCUAUCUAAUCGAGCUUUUAGCAAAUGAAGGUUUUCUAAUUAUAUCGGUUCCGUACAAUGUGACAUUUGAUCAUGCACAAGCUACUAGAGAAAUUUAUGAGAGGUUCAAUUCCUGCUUGGAUACCAUUUUAACAUCAGGAUUGCCUGAUGCCAGCCUAUCGGCUACUGAGCUAGCUUGCCUUCCUCUGUAUUCCGUUGGCCACAGCAAUGGGGCUCUACUCCAAGUACUCAAAGGAAGUUAUUUCUCUGAGAAGAUACCCAAGGCUAAUGCCAUAAUCUCGUACAACAACCGGCCAGCAACGGAGGCGGUGCCUUACUUUGAGCAGAUGGGUCCUCUGGUCAGGCAGGUGAUGCCCAUUGUGGAAGCAUCUCCAGCAUAUUCAUUAGCCCAGAAUGCCUCUGAUGCAUGGAAAGGGCUUCUUGAUAUGGCUGGAACAAUGAUAUUGGACAACGAUCAGGAAACAUUGGUUUCAUUGACCAACUUUGUGGAUCAGUUGCCUUCUGUGAUGAAUCAGGUCACACAAGGAAUUUCAGAGUUCAGGCCAACUCCCUCUGAGAAUCGUGAAUGCUUCAAGAACUCAUACAAUGUCCAACGAACCCUACUGGUCAAGUUCAAUUUUGAUGCUAUUGAUGAGACAGAUUUGCUUGAAGAAAUACUGAAGCCCCGUGUGGAGUCUAUAGGUGGAACAUUAGAGAAGGUUUCACUGAAUGGUAACCAUAUCACUCCUUGCAUUCAGGAACCAAAAUGGCAAGUAGGUAACUUGUACACUCCAGCAGAUGCCAUUGCUCAGGGCCUCAAGACUCUUUCACUGAGUGAAACUAGGGUCCUUUCCAGAACGAUCACCAACUGGUUUCGAGGUCUUGAAGACUUAUCUUUAUGAAAAACAAAAGAUGAGCCUGGGCUGAUAAUAUGUACAGUCAACUUCUGGUUAUCCUGUUGUCUCUGCUGCUGCUCCAAGGAAUUUAGCCUACAAUCCUGGAUAAAAAUCUUCCAUUUUCAGCUUCAAUCUCAGUGAAUGCCUGUUCUCUUGAGAAACUGAUGCUAGAGCUCUGUCUAAAGUGGGAUGCAGAGAACAACCUUUAACCAAAUAGCCUGCACUGAUAGGAACCUUUGGAGGAACUAGGAGAUGACUCUGCUCCAUGAAUUUGGAAGAGAGGCAAGCCAAUUAAUUGAUUGGGUAGCAAAAUAUGGUCAGCAGUUGCUGUCUGUUUUAAUGUACAACUCAUGUUCACUAUGGUAAUAUUCUAUGCUUGGAUGUUUGGAGUGGAGUUCAAGAUGCAUGUACUACUUGGUUUCUACCGUUCAUAGUCAUACAGGCUUACCCAUGCUUGAAUUGGGUAGCCAAAUCUAGCAAGUUUUUUUUCCCUUUUUAUGUAUACAAAUUUUGUACUCGCGCAUAUAUGGAGUUGUGAGUCAAGAUGUAUAUUCACUUGUUUUUUUAUUCAAAGAAAUUUCUAUUCACUCUAUA